rnacentral:rRNA from 1 species
GAUGAACGCUAGCGGCAGGCCUAACACAUGCAAGUCGAGGGGCAGCAUAAAAUAAACUUGUUUAUUUGGUGGCGACCGGCGCACGGGUGCGUAACGCGUAUGCAACCUACCUUAUACUGGGGAAUAGCCCGAAGAAAUUCGGAUUAAUGCCCCAUAGUACUGAGACCUCUCCUGAGGAUUCAGUUAAAGCUUUGGCGGUAUAAGAUGGGCAUGCGUCCAAUUAGCUAGAUGGCGAGGUAACGGCUCACCAUGGCGACGAUUGGUAGGGGGCCUGGGAGGGUGGUCCCCCACACUGGUAAUGAGACACGGACCAGACUCCUACGGGAGGCAGCAGUGAGGAAUAUUGGUCAAUGGGCGCAAGCCUGAACCAGCCAUGCCGCGUGAAGGAUGAAGGUUCUAUGGAUUGUAAACUUCUUUUAUUUGGGAAUAAACCUCUUUACGUGUAGAGAGCUGAAGGUACCAAAUGAAUAAGCACCGGCUAACUCCGUGCCAGCCGCCGCCGUAAUAC